AGUUUUCUGCAAUGUUAAUUAUAAAUAAUUGAAUUUAUUUUUACACGCUAAUUCUACUCAACGCAAAUUUAAGGGCCAACGUUGCGUUAACGUGUUAUUUCAUUCGUGAUUUCGGUAAAAACCAUAGAAAAGGAGCUUUAACACAGCGAUUCAGCUGAUCUUUUUGGACGUGUUUUAAAGUGAAGAACUCGAAAGAGGUUCAAAAGUUAUGCCAAAAAGAAACUUGUACUUCUUACACUGCAUCGAGUCGAGAAUAGGUGUUUAACCAGUUAACUGUUUUUCACAAGUAUGCUCGCCAUGAACAUAUGAAAAUGGCAAUAUUUUUUGUUAUGAGUAUACUCAUAUGUAUACUGUUAUGAGUAUAGUCAUGCGUAAAAAGAAGUGAAACAGUCAUAGCUUAAUUCUAUAUUAAACAGCCACACAUACUCUGUGUCUGAUGAGUAUGUAUACAAUAGUACAGUACAUAAUAUAAGUAUAAUAUAAUACGAAUUAGAGCGAUAGUGUAAUUGAAUGUUCAAAUCCCAAAUUAUUGGAUAUAGUUUCAUUAUGGACUUCAUCAUUAAUAUUAUAUAACUAACACAUACUUGAUUGGACGAUGCUUAUAUAAUCAAUCAAUUGCUCUCUAGUUAUUCGUUACAUCACUAAAAUUAUCUUCUAAUGGGUUAGACAUGGUGUACCUUGAACGUAUUUCUGUUACGAUGACAAAAUUUCAUAGCAAUAUGAAGAUUAUUCUUCUUGUAUUGUUCUUGCCAAUAGAAGGAUGACAAAAGACAGAAGGCCACCGCGUGAAUGAAUUUUGAGUUUAGAAAUACUUGCAAUUUCUUUCUUUUCCAAACGAAAGUCCUGAUUUCAACAAAAUUCACUCUAACGAGAUCAGAUCUUGUCGUAAAACUAUUCCUGGCACAAAAGGCUAACACGCAGCAUCCUCGAAAGAAGACAAAAGGCAGAGAUAACAAACUUCCUUGCAAUCAAGAAUCUCAGCUGCAAUGAUGCGAGGAGAAAUAAAUUCUAUACACGAGUAAUUGUAACAUGCGUAGAUCCUUUUUCUUAGAUGGCAAAGGACGCGUAACCGAUUUAAUGCGCGGCCUUGUACCUCAGGAAUAGUAACGACGGUCAUAAAAUUGCGGUCGACCGUGAAACGACAACGUUCUGAACAUCACUGGAAUAUGCAUACGAGCGCACGGACAUAUCGUAAUUGACUCGUCCAGCAUUUCUCUGAGCGAAGGUGCCUUGUAACGACCUUUGCGAUGAUGCUCUAAACGACACUGCCAUAGUUUUUCUUCUUCCUCCUGGCGUUCAACCGUAACCUCUUGUUCGCGUUGUUUGUGUUUCUUUGUUUUGACCCGUUGGAUGUUCAAUGGUUACGCCAGGCUAUGACACAUGAUAAGUAGUCUUUAAUUGGAGUCAUUGGAUGAUUGUGUUAAACAUGUGCAGGUGCACUACUGAGGGACCAAGGUCCAUUGAGUUUAACUGUAUUGUUCAUAGCAUGGACUCUAACAUUACAUGGGAAGGCCAGUCAGAUCAUUUUGAUCCAUUACUGAAUUAGCAAAAAUUAUUGCUUUCAUUUGAUGUGUAUUUUUUUUUUAUAAGUGUCUUUUUAUAAUUUAAAGUAAUGGUGAAUUAAUAGCAUAUUCUGUGGCACUAAAACUCUAAUUGGGAUGGGAAAGAAGAUUAUUAUUAGAGAAAGAUGUGAUUGUUUUAUAUUAUCCUAAUUUCUUCCUCCAAAUUGAAUAUUAAUACUGGAACGAAAUACAUAAUGUCUAUUUGUAUUGUUAUUAGUAUCUAGAAAAACGUUCAAGUAGCCAUGAAGCUAAGCAUAAUCAAUAUAGACAUACAACAAGAAGAAAAGCUAAAUGAAAAUUUGAAUGAAAAAGUUGAAAAUUUACAUAGUACAACCAGAAAGCUAUGAAAAGGAAGAUUAGUUAAAUACUAAAGACAAUAAUAGCGACGUUAAGGAAGAAAUACAGAGCAAUAAUACAAAUGCAGUUAAAUAGUAAGUAGGAAUACAUUGUACUGUAGCAUAUUGGUACCAUAGUUACAUCAUGCACAUAUAAAUUAUAUUAAAACUAAGAUAAAAGAAUUAAACUACAUGUAUAUCUAAUAAUAAUAGGCUGUAAAAAUAGAAUAACUAUUUCUAGGACUAGGGAAUGUGUACAUGUAACAAGUAAAUCACUACGCUAAGCCAAAGAACCUCCUCGUGAUAGAUGUACGGUCUGACUGAAUAAAAUAUUCUUACAUUAUUAUAUUAAUGUUUACAAGCAGUGAAAAUAGGAAGAAUGGAGACAUUUCUUGUCCUAUUCCAUGAAGAUCAGCGAUUCCCUGUUUUUACUCCAAAGUUUUUACACUCACUACAUAUUUUAUUUAUAAUUUUUCAUUAUUCAACAGUUUUAUAGCAUCAAAGUGCCACAAACAAAAUGUAGUAUAACAUAAAAUAAAAAUAAUACAAUAAAAUGUA